AGCGAACGCUGGCGGCAGGCCUAACACAUGCAAGUCGAGCGCCCGUAGCAAUACGGGAGCGGCAGACGGGCGAGUAACACGUGGGAACGUACCCUUCGGUUCGGAAUAACCCAGGGAAACUUGGAUUAAUACCGGAUACGUCCGUAAGGAGAAAGAUUUAUCACCGAAGGAUCGGCCCGCGUCCGAUUAGCUUGUUGGUGGGGUAAUGGCCCACCAAGGCUACGAUCGGUAGCUGGUCUGAGAGGAUGACCAGCCACACUGGGACAGAGACCCGGCCCAGACUCUUACGGGAGGCAGCAGUGGGGAAUAUUGGACAAUGGGGGCAAGCCUGAUCCAGCCAUGCCGGGUGGGUGAUGAGGGACCGAGGGUUGUAAAGCCGUUUCGGCGGGGAAGAUAAUGACGGUACCCGCAGAAGAAGCCCCGGCUAACUUCGUGCCAGCCGCCGCAGUAAGAC
rnacentral:rRNA from 1 species